AUCGCUAGUGGCGUUUCAGGGCGGGGGGGGUGGUCCUGGCUAGUAGUCCUGUGAAGCUGGGGUGGGACGGAAGGAGGCAGCCCGCCUCGCCAGGUGGGAGUGAGGUGGACAAGACGACACAUCCUGCAAUCAGAUGUUUCCUACUUGAUCUCCUGACAGGUCAGGUCACUGCAUGGCUGUUGGACACUGUGUUCUGGGGAGGCGUAGUUUCCUGUGAGCGUCCUGCAUGUGAUGGCAAGGUGGUGUCUGGCCCGGACUGUUACUGUGGUGUCCCUCACUGUAACUCUGUCUGCUGUUGCUGUCAGGUACCCUAGCUGCCGACUCCUCUACCCACUGCUCCAUCCAUUCAGAGAGCUGGCCUACAGUAGCUCAGUUCCAGUACAUUGGUUCCAUUUUUACCCUGUCAGCAUGCUGAGCUGUUACAAUCCAAAUGAAAAUGUCCACAACAAAGCUCACACCUCCCCAUAUCCAGGGUCAAAGGUUGAGCGCAGCAAAGUACCUACUGAUAAAGUGGCCUGGCUAGAUGAGUGGGAGGAUUACAGACCUGUGGAAUACACUGCAGCCUCUGUCUUGGCUGGACCUACGUGGGCAGAUCCACAGAUCAGUGCCAAAAACUUUUCUCCCAGAUUCAAUGAGAAGGAUGGACAAGUGGAGAGGAGGAGUCUGAGUGGCUUGUAUGAGGUUGAAAAUGGGAGGCCCAGAAAUCCAUCAGGCAGGACGGGACUGGAGGGUCGAGGAUUAUUAGGGCGCUGGGGACCAAACCAUGCUGCAGAUCCUAUUAUAACUAGGUGGAAGAGAGAUAGCAGUGGCAAUAAAAUAAUUCACCCAAUCUCUGGCAAGAACAUUUUACAGUUUGUAGCAAUCAAGAGGAAAGACUGUGGGGAAUGGGCCAUCCCAGGGGGUAUGGUAGAUCCAGGAGAGAAGAUUGGUGCCACACUGAAACGAGAAUUUAGUGAGGAGGCCUUAAACUCCUUACAGAAAUCCAGAACAGAGAAGGAAGAGAUGGAGAAGCAAAUGAACAGACUCUUCAACCAGGAACAUUUUGUGGUGUAUAAGGGAUAUGUGGAUGAUCCUCGUAAUACAGAUAAUGCCUGGAUAGAGACAGAAGCUGUGAACUACCAUGAUGAACCUGGUGAGACAAUGGAUAACUUGCUUCUGGAAGCAGGAGAUGAUGUUGGGAAAGUGAAAUGGGUUGACAUCAGUGAGAAACUCAAGCUAUAUGCAAAUCAUGGCAACUUCAUCAAACUUGUAGCUGAGAAAUGGGGAGCACACUGGAGUGAAGACCCUGUUCCUGGCUGCCAUAAAUGAUGCUUCUGGAAUCCAAAUGUAAACUGGAAACCGAUCUCCUCCGUAGAACAUCCCUGAUUGAUGUGUAUCGUGCCUGGCUAAUUGAAUAUCUCUAAUAAUGCUAACCCUGAUAAUGCUAGGUUUGGUUGCUGACAAUCCCUCAAUGUUGCAGUACUUUCAGGGAUAGCCUGAUGACUCCAACAUUGGAGGGCAGAAUUACAUCAAAAAUGUCUGCUGGCAAGUGACUAAGAUUCAGCUCUAGAAAGGACUUUGAAUGUGGUCUGCUGAUUGGACACACAACUACACUCAACCAUGAGCAUCAUAACGGAGACGUUUCGACCAGCAUCACUCCUCCACACAUCCAUUGUGAGGAUGCUCUAGCCCGAAUGGUUGAGAAGAUCAGGGCAAACGUGAGCCUACCACCAUACACAAACAUCUUUGACCACCCAACAGUACGUUUGUUGUCAGGGUCCCUGUUGUGGGCCCACCUGUCCUGUCGAGAUUUCUCUGUGAUGUCAAUGUGGUUUGAGCAAUGGUCUGCAGCUGAUGUCAGAAACCAUUCUCUUAUAACUGACCCAGCCAAGUGUGGACCCAGCCGUGAUUUGCCCUAACUGCUCAUGUGUCAUUCUGAACCAAUUUCAAAUGGGCCAGGGUAAAUAUGCAGGCAGCCUUCACGUCUGGGGCCAACAAAAGGAUUCCAUGUGCAGCUGUGGCCAAAGAUAGACAAUGUCACACAUCACUGGUGCCUGCCCUCUGACCAUAUUUGAUGGUAGUCUGAGGGACUGAACUUUGCUGCUGCCAUAAAUUGACUUGGCAAACUCCACUUUUAAUAAGAAGAAUACCCUGCAUCCCUCCCCCCCCCUUAGUAGGGUGUUCCGAUGUUUAGCUGUUCUUAUGUAUGAUGAUCUGCCAGUGUUUAGCUUGAGUUGUCCUUGCUUUCACUUAAGUUCACCUUAUUUCUGUCCACUUACUCUAGUAAUUGUCUGUAACACAUAAAGGAUUGGUAUGUCUCCUCCCACCCUCCUUUAUAUUUAAUAAGUCGAGCUCUUUACCUUUCCUUACAGACCUUGCUUCUAAGUAUGUUAUCCUUCAGGUAUGCUUUAUGCUGUCUGCCUUCAAAUUCUAAAAUAGUGUGACACCCAAAAAUGAAUUCAGCAUUUUAUGGCUGUUGUGCUGAAUAGUUAGAAUAACUUUUUUUUUUGCUUGUUUUACAGGAGAUGCACCUCUUUAAUAUAGCACUUGUCUUUUCUGUGACUGUCUGCUACGUAACUGCAAAUAAGCUCUUCAAAACCAAACGGUAUCAAAGUGUAACUGCUGCCAGCACAAUGUGUAUUAUCAGAGUUGUUGACAGUGUUGGGUGGCUGAAGCUCUUGUGUGGAUUUCUUGCUUCCCCCCCAUACAAAUCAUAUGGGCAGGAUGAUAUUGUCAACGUGAAUAGAAAAUUCCAUUGCCUACUAUAUUCUCUUGUAGUUCAUUACUAUCUCAGCUUCACUGAUAUCUGAGAGUGAUAUAUCAAACAUGUUCACCUCAAGAAGGCUGUUGAGGAAAGUCGGAUAAUGAUUUUAAGGCUCAUUUUUCAAUGCUCUCCGAUCAGGAAUCAGGGCCUGGAGCCGAGCCAGUCUCUGGGCAACCUAAUAGGCCUGUAGUAGGCCGCCUGAUUGGCUACACUGUCUUAUUAGUGGGAAGAGUCUGCUCAAAGCAUUUUCAGAAUUGGCUGCAGUAGCUCCUGUGCCUGCUUGUUCCUAGCCUUGCUCCUACCUUGUUUCAGUCCUGGUGUUGCCCUGGACCCAGCCUAGCUAUGAGAUCAUUGUUAGCUCCUUCAUAGGAAAAUGCAUAAGUGUUAUUAAAGGCAAUUGAGUUUCUCCAAAUCCAUGGAACACCUACAUGCUUUAUGAUUACUUGCUAUGUGUGUGUCUCCCAAAGACUCUUCACCUUUAACUUCACACAAACAAUUUAAACUGCUAUUUCUUAAGUUUCCCAAUGUCUCCUAAUAUGACUGGCCUUUUGAAAGCCAUUUACUUAAUGGUCACUCUUUCUUAACACUAGGGCAAAACUCUGCCAGUUGCAAGUGUGGUUAUCCAGUCCUCACUGUGCUACAAAAAACAUAUGGAAGGGAUGGGUAGUUUUAUGCUGUAAAAAGUUUAAGGAGCUGAUAGUAUAAUUCAGUGUUCAUGAGGAGUUAUUCUCAUCCCUAAGUUGACAUUGGUUGUAAGGGAAUGGGAGCCACAGGAAAGCACGUGAGGACUAUUUAGGAAUGCAGUUUAUUUGUGACAUUUGUAGCGGUUUGUGAAGUUUGCCUACCUGUUCACUCCAGUCUGCAAAAUGGCUAAUUGAAUAGUUGCAGUCUAAAAUAUGAGAAAUAAUGUAUAUCCCUUACUGUUUCUAUUGCUUACAAAUUUUUAAGCACUACUAAGUUUGAUUUUUUGGGUGUUGCUUCUGCCACUACACAGGAUUAAUAUUUUGGAAUAGGGUCCCAUUAUCUGUGAUACCAUCACAACUAAGAAUGGACCUUAAUGUUGAUUGACUGAUUUGAAAGACUAUUCAGUACUUUACGCUAUAUUUUUUUUUUUACUAUUCCCAAGAUAGGGAAAGUGGACUUUUUUUUUAUUGGCAGUGAAGAAAUAGUGGUAUAGUUGUUGCAAGAGUAGGAAAUGAGAAAAAGGCUCUUGUGGAAAGUAGCUUAUGGGAAAGUGUAAAACUAAUUUAGCCAAAUUAUGUCUACUUAUGGCUAUAUUAUAAUGUAAAAGGAAGGACUUAAAAC